AGAGUUUGAUCCUGGCUCAGGAUGAACGCUGGCGGCGUGCCUAAUACAUGCAAGUCGAGCGCAGGAAGCAGGGGAAGUCCUUCGGGAGGCCCCCUGUGGAAUGAGCGGCGGACGGGUGAGUAACACGUAGGCAACCUACCCAUCAGACUGGGAUAACCACGGGAAACCGUGGCUAAUACCGGAUAACCCUUUUAGACAGCGGUUUAAGAGUUAAAAGGCGGUUUCGGCUGUCACUGAUGGAUGGGCCCGCGGCGCAUUAGCUGGUUGGUGGGGUAAGGGCCCACCAAGGCGACGAUGCGUAGCCGACCUGAGAGGGUGAUCGGCCACACUGGGACUGAGACACGGCCCAGACUCCUACGGGAGGCAGCAGUAGGGAAUCUUCCGCAAUGGACGCAAGUCUGACGGAGCAACGCCGCGUGAGUGAAGAAGGGUUUCGGCUCGUAAAACUCUGUUGUUAAGGAAGAAUGACGGAGAUUUAACUGAUCUUCGUGUGACGGUACUUAACCAGAAAGCCACGGCUAACUACGUGCCAGCAGCCGCGGUAAUACGUAGGUGGCAAGCGUUAUCCGGAAUUAUUGGGCGUAAAGCGCGCGUAGGCGGCUCACUUAGUCUGAUGUGAAAGCCCUCGGCUCAACCGGGGAGGGUCAUUGGAAACUGGUGAACUUGAGUGCAGAAGAGGAGAGUGGAAUUCCAUGUGUAGCGGUGAAAUGCGCAGAGAUAUGGAGGAACACCAGUGGCGAAGGCGGCUCUCUGGUCCGUAACUGACGCUGAUGUGCGAAAGCGUGGGGAUCAAACAGGAUUAGAUACCCUGGUAGUCC
rnacentral:rRNA from 1 species